rnacentral:rRNA from 1 species
CCUACGGUGAGCAGCAGUCGAGAAUCAUUCACAAUGGGGGAAACCCUGAUGGUGCGACGCCGCGUGGGGGAAUGAAGGUCUUCGGAUUGUAAACCCCUGUCAUGUGGGAGCAAAUUAAAAAGAUAGUACCACAAGAGGAAGAGACGGCUAACUCUGUGCCAGCAGCCGCGGUAAUACAGAGGUCUCAAGCGUUGUUCGGAAUCACUGGGCGUAAAGCGUGCGUAGGCUGUUUCGUAAGUCGUGUGUGAAAGGCGCGGGCUCAACCCGCGGACGGCACAUGAUACUGCGAGACUAGAGUAAUGGAGGGGGAACCGGAAUUCUCGGUGUAGCAGUGAAAUGCGUAGAUAUCGAGAGGAACACUCGUGGCGAAGGCGGGUUCCUGAACAUUAACUGACGCUGAGGCACGAAGGCCAGGGGAGCGAAAGGGAUUAGAUACCCCGGUAGUC